CUACGGAGGAUGCGAGCGUUAUCCGGAUUUAUUAGGUUUAAAGGGUGUGUAGGCGGUAUUUUAAGUCAGUGGUGAAAUCUCGGAGCUUAACUUCGAAACUGCCAUUGAUACUGGAAUACUUGAGUAUAGUUGAGGUAGGCGGAAUAUGUAAUGUAGCGGUGAAAUGCAUAGAUAUUACAUAGAACACCGAUUGCGAAGGCAGCUUACUAAACUAUUACUGACGCUGAUGCACGAAAGCGUGGGGAGCGAACAGGAUUAGAUACCCUAGUAGUCC
rnacentral:rRNA from 1 species